ensembl:lncRNA Novel transcript
GCAUGAAAAACUAGCCCUUACAUAUUAUGUAAGGAUUUAGAUGUUAAACUCCACUGUAGAAACUGAUAACUUCACCUAAACCAUUUGGUAGGCUCCUUUCAUAUAUACCAGGAAGGAUGGAAUUUUACUGAGAAAAAACUUUUAAUAAGACAGGAUUAAGGUAUUUCUCUACCAUCGCAAAGCCAGAAGGUCAGGUAUAAUCACUCUGAAGCAAAGAAAGUCGAAGUCAGAGAACAUCUGCUGGUGCCUGUGUUCCUCACAGGUGGGAGGGCAACCAGAGAAUUUAUCCUGUUGCAUCAAAUGAGUUGACUGGAGCUGUCUGCUCCAGACCUGGUCGUCUGAGACAGCAGACUUGGACCCAGCAGCAAGCGUUGAAGGAUGGAGGGAGGAGGCGACAGAGAACAUGCACAAAUCACCAAGCUAGAGAAGCCUCAAGUAUCCUCUCUUAAAUGCAUGCAAAAGGAAUCCUGAAAAGAAUGAGAGAAAGAGAAAUAGUCAAGCCUGCUUUUAGACUGCACAGACCUGGGCUAACCUGUUAAUGUCCUUGGAAUCUUUACCCCUAGAAAACAGAGGACAGUUAGUGCCGUAGACUCUGACCAGCUUGGUUUGUGACUCACUCUCCCUACUGGUGGGAAGUAGAAUCAUGACCGGAAACCUUGAUCUUGAGGAGAUCAAAAAACACAGAGCAAAGAUCAAGAAGAAGGGGAGUAGGAGCAAGAAAAACUCGAGCAUCCCUGCCGCAGUAGAGGAGAAAGUUACAAAGGAGUAGAGACACAGUUUACAGGACCUCAUUCGCACUCCAAUGACAAUGAAAGGAAGGGGGUGUUGGGCAGAGAAGCAAAGAGCUCCGGUUCUCACCAUCACAUGGUAGCGGGUGUAAGUUUGUUCCCAACAUACCAGACAGAGAGCAACUCUCACCAGAGAAGAUCCCAAUGUGUUUUAUGCUAGAUCUGACUUUAAUUAAGUGUAGACAAUGCUCCCAUCAGUGCUGGAACUGGCCCCGGUAACUUGCUUUAGCUGAUGGAAUGUUACCAAACACAACAUGAUCAA